rnacentral:rRNA from 1 species
CAGUAGCCGCGGUAAUACGGAGGGUGCAAGCGUUAUCCGGAUUUAUUGGGUUUAAAGGGUCCGUAGGCGGACUUAUAAGUCAGUGGUGAAAGCCUGUCGCUUAACGAUAGAACUGCCAUUGAUACUGUAAGUCUUGAGUAUAUUUGAGGUAGCUGGAAUAAGUAGUGUAGCGGUGAAAUGCAUAGAUAUUACUUAGAACACCAAUUGCGAAGGCAGGUUACCAAGAUAUAACUGACGCUGAGGGACGAAAGCGUGGGUAGUGAACAGGAUUAGAUACCCCUGUAGUCCCUGUCUCUUAUAC